rnacentral:lncRNA from 1 species
GCGGGGGGCGGGGCGUCGCGGGCACAGCGUGAGGGCCGCCGUUGCUGGAGUUCAGCUUAGGGAAGGAGGACUCUGAGGAGGCCCCGAGCGGCGGAGCGCUUCGGGGGAGGCGCCCGCGCAGACGCGAGGCCCAUAGCCAGGACCACCACCUAGCUGAUUCUUGAUGACAUUGGUCGGGAAAACUCGCCUUUCACGGCCCGGCCAAGGGGCAUUUGGGUGCUUUUGCUGCCCGUGGCUGUGCUCAGCGUUGUGGGAAGCCCCUGGGAGGCCGAAUGUGCAGGAUCACCGAGGGGAAAGUGAGCUUGACAGUUUUCUUCGCAUGAGAUGGCUUUUUUGCACAAAAACACUGGAAUCCAGUGAGCAAGAAUGAUAGAAUGCAAGAUGGAUUUCCACAUGAGGAAGUGUCACGAACAAGCGUUUUGCAUCUCUGUCAGCUGGAUUCCCCCAUGUGGAGAGACCCACCGACCCUGUGGGGCUGGUCCCUACAUCUGGCGCUCUGACGUGGGGCUCUCCCUCGCUGUGUGAAGUUGCACCCUGAGUGCGGGAUCAGCGGAGGAGUUCAACGAGAGAUUCCUGAGGAUUGCAGUCUAUAAACUUGGUGGAAAAGAACUACAGCCUGUGUGGGUCCCCUCCCGACAAUUAAAAUUGCACCAUAACUCCAAAGAUGAAACGCUCCCAGAAAGAAAAGGCAAAGACCCAUCGGAAACAAAAGAGCAACUUUCACCGCCUGAUACAUACACUUCAUGACAUCCACAUUGAGACAAAAUCUCGCCGUGUGACCUACAACACCUCUCGUUCAACCCCACCUACUUGGGGUCGAAUACAGAUUUUAUCUCAUCAAACAGAAAAAUUCUUAACAGAAAAA